CAACACUACAAUUUGACGACAUUCUUGGCAAAAGUUUACGUUACUCAGUGUAGUGAUCCAGUUUGACAUGCUACACCCCUACUAACGUGUUCGGAACAUAUUCUUUAUCGGUGUUAAGUAGAGCGUAAAAUCAAAGACUAUCGAAUGAAAUAUAAUCUCGCUGCUCCGAGACUCCAACACGAGCUACCUGAGACCCGGUGAAUUUUCUACCGGAUAUGGAUGUGCUUUAAGGAAUUCCAUUGCUAAUUGUACUUUUUGGGGACUUUAAGUGAUUCACCACCCUUUGAACAAAUGUAUUUUGAGAUCCUCAAAGGAAUCCAAGAUUUGUCAAGAAGUCAUGUUUUAAUUGCUGCCCAUCAAAUAGUACUGUGUCUUGCAUGUGUAAAUUAGAUUCAUUUUGAGGAAAUAGCUGGUGUGCAGUGCACAUUCCUAAAUGAAUUCAUCAGUUUAUAUUAAGGAUCUACCUUCAAAUCCUGUAAUCUGGGAUGCUCUAAAGUACAUUGUCACAGACUAAAGUUAUAAAAAUAACUUCCAAGAAUUUUUAAGAAAUUGUUAUAACUUUGAAAUGUAUGUAUAUACAUGUAUACUGAUAUUGAAUUAAAUUUUAUAAAAAUUUCA